AUCGUUACUUUUACUUGCUUUCUUCCCCAUUGAACUGCUUGUUCUUUAGAUGGAAUAAAUACAUCAAUCAAAUGUCCUUUAAUUGCACCGCCUGUAUCAGCAGCAGUGGCAUAUCCAUAACCUUCAACAUAUACUCUUGAACCUAAUGGAAUCACACUUGGAUCCACUGAAAUUACUUUUGCAUUUGGGUUAGCUUUUAAAUUUAUUCCAGUUGCUGUAACGCCUGAACAUCCGCCGCAGUCAGCA
rnacentral:antisense_RNA from 1 species